rnacentral:rRNA from 1 species
AACGAACGCUGGCGGCAUGCCUAACACAUGCAAGUCGAACGAGACCCUCGGGUCUUGUGUCGCACGGGUGCGUAACGCGUGGGAACCUGCCCUUAGGUUCGGUAUAACUCCCCGACAGGGGUGCUAAUACCGGAUAAUGUCUUCGGACCAAAGAUUUAUCGCCUUUGGUUGGGCCCGCGUUGGAUUAGCUAGUUGGUAGGGUAAGAGCCUACCAAGGCGACGUUUCAUAGCUGGUCUGAGACGAGGAUCAGCCACCCUGGGACUGAGACACGGCCCAGACUAGUACGGAAGGGUGCAGAAGAGAAUAUAGGAGAAGGGGCGAAAGACUGAUCAAGCAACGCGGCGUGAGUGAUGAAGGCCUUAGGGUUGUAAAGCUAUUUUACACGAGAUGAUAAUGACAGUACCGGGAGAAUAAGCACCGGCUAACUCCGUG